GAUAAAUAUGAUUUAUUAACACUAAAACUUGAUUUCAUUAUUUUUCAGUCAGCGUGCAAAAACUAGAAAAUAGAUUAUAUUCCAAAAUUGGUUUCGGCACCGUGUUAUGAUAUAGAUGCAAUAUAUAGACCACUCAAGUUGGUUCGAUGUUAUAUAUGUGAGCAAGCAUUGAAGUUAAAGGGCUAGACACAAUUUCAGAACAAGGAAGUCUAGUGGGGAGGCUUGAAGAUUGCGAGAGAAACUCUACUGAGAAAACUGCAACCGAAAGAAGAAAACGUUACGUAGGUAAAAUGUAGACGUUAAAGACGCGACAUUGAGGGUAAUUCGAAUAUGUCGCAUCAAUGAGCGAGAGACCUGCCUUAAGAAAAAUGAAACCAAAGGAAGAAAGUAUGUUAUGUAGGCAUGGCAUAGAUGUUAAAGACAAAACCUAAGGGGUUAUUCGAAUAUGCCACAAGAAUGACCGAAAAAGCUGUCUUAAAGGAAAUGCAACCGAAAAAAAGAACUACGUUAUAUAGGUAUGACGCAGAUGUUCCAGACAAAGUCUGAGCAAAAAAGCUGUCUAAAAGGAAAUGCAACCGAAUAAAAGAAGUACGUUUUGUAGGUAUGACGCAGAUGUUCCAGACAAAGUCCUAAAGCAGGAAUAAGAAUCUCAAUUGGAAGUCUUGAGUAUUGUGAGAGAGCUUUCUUAAGGAAAACACAGCCCAAAGAAUAAGGCUUUGGGUAUAAAAGAAAUCUAAAAAAUUAUUUACC